rnacentral:piRNA from 1 species
CAGAACCCUUUAUUCCUGGUGACUUGUUC